CUGCAGAGUUAAGCGGUGUUAUGACUUGAAUUGAUUUCCAUUAUUCCAUACAGUUUAGUAAACUAAAGUCAGAUUGUUCUCAACAUGGAUUUGGGCGGUGUUAACCUUUCACAUGAAAACAAGUCCCCUAAUUGUAAUGAUAUAGAUCCAGCAUUCUACUCCAAAAAAUUAUUCGUUAACAUAGAACAUGAAUGGCUGAUAUGUUGUUCGCUUAGCUCAGAAAUCUUGCAGAUUAGUGUGUGCAAGGAAUGUCCUUAAAACUACUUGUCCCCUCAGAUAUUUUCAAGGAGUGAUCUGAAUAACUCGACUAUUCCAGAUUCCAAAGUUUUCAUGGACAGUCCAGUUCCGCUCGGGUAUCAGGUUUGUGUGGUAUAAUAGGAUUUGUACAAGAAUUGUACAAGCCGUAAGUCAUUAGGAAGUGGGUGCGGGUGAGUCGCUUCCUCCUCAGCCACCUGAGCAGUCAGCUGACAGGUACAGCUGCUCAGUGCAAAGGGAGUGGCUGCAUUCCGGAUAGGUUGUGACAGCAUAACCUACGCGGCCAACGCCGGCUGAUUCACCUGACCAGGGGCAGAUUCCUCAUUCUCCAAAACAACGUCUCGGAACGCGCCAGGUUUCCACGUCGUUGAUUCAAUCAACAGAAGGUGGGUGGAGCAGUUCUGGCAUGCUAUGGGAGCAUUGAUGGAAUUCCUGCUGCUAAGGACUCAGCUGGACUGAUGCAACGUAGGAAUAUACAGGCAACAGCAAGUGGCAAAAUGGCUGCCCCGGGUGUUGGCUAAAAACAGGUCUGCGGCACCUACGUAUAACGUGGUACCAGGAAGUCCGUUCUCGACACCGUUUGGCUUUUGCUGACAACAGAGUGAG